UGACUCCCAAGCAUCUAGAACAGUACAAUAAGUACUCAUUAAAUACUUAUUGAAUGAAGCUCAGAAAACACAGUGAAACUUCUAUCAACAAACCCUCUGAAAAACCACCAGCCCAAAGGUGCUCACGAAUCCAGCCAUCAAGCUUCUCCAAGGAGGGCAACAUAACCAUCCUGGACCACUUUAAAGAACUGCUGCUCGGGAGACGCAGUGGCUUGGAAAGUGAGGGGCAGGCGCCAAGGAAGCGUAAUUCUCAGAACCCCAGUGCACUCAGCGACCCAGCUAAGGGACUCCAGGUCUGUCCCGAGCCUGCCCUCAAACACAGAAGCACUUAACAACCCUGACCCAGUAAGAACAGCACCUCCUCCCUCCUCGCGCGCUCCAGCCUGGCCACAGGCAUCUCCUCCAGGGCCGGGACGCGGCGGGAGGCAGGAGGUUGCGUGACUCCGGGCGCCAGGACCGCCGGGCAAAGAGCCCGGGGUCUGCCCCGACGGGUGGGGGGCUGAGGACGUCGCGGGGCUGCGAGGGGAGAGACGAGGUCCAGGACUGGGACAAGGAUCUCCCAGUCAGGCCCGCGGGGGUCACAGGUCGUUGGAUCUCCAUCCAGGGUCUAGUUUCGGAAACUUACCUGGCGCUCUGCCCUCCUGGCGCGAGGAGCGUGCGCUCCAGGGAGGGAAAUACCGGCCUUCCAGUCCCACAGGGCUCCCUCCCGCUGGCCCAGCUCCGCCGCUCGCCGACACCAGGCUGACACACCAACAGCUGCCAACGUAAGCGAAGCUCACAGAGAACUGGAGCAGACGCGGCUGGCCUCCGCCGCCCAGAGCUCGACCCUGCGCACGGAGCAUGCGCGCACGCCCCAACACCCAAAGGCCAGUCAGGCCAGUGACACCUGCGAUCAACAGGUCCCCGGAGCCCCGCCCCUAUCUCCGCCUCGCGCCCGCCCCGCCUCCUCGGAGCCGGCCCCGCCUUUGCGCUCCCCGAGCGAACCCCGCCCCCGCAUGCGAUUUCCCGGCUUUCCGGACCUGCCGAACUGUAUUCCCGCGGGGGUUCGAUGGGGCGCGCGAUCCAGUUGACUUUCUCCGAGGCGCGAGAUCCCGCGAGAUCAAGAGUUGGAACAUUUCCCUUAAGGCGGGGAGUGCUUAGCUUUGGGAGAAGGUGGCUGCGGGUUGCGCUGUGUGGUGUCAAUGGAAGGAGGGGAUCGUUCCCCAAGUGGAGGCGAUUAUUCCGAUGCUCUUGGUUAUUUAUUCGCUAUGUUCUAAGCUCAGGAACGCAGAUCCACCAAGGACUGGGCUUUAGACAAGGUGGUUUUACCUGAGAUAUAACGAUCUGUGCUCUGGCGUCAAAACCCCAGGCGGAUGCCCAGUUCCCUUUAGCUUUCUGUGAAUCAUUGCGAUCUGUUUGCAGUUAAAUGGCUUCCGUUGGCAUGAAUGUGUAGUCCCCAACUGGUUAUUUCGUGACUAUUAAUAAAAUGAAAACUUU
rnacentral:lncRNA from 1 species